ACUGCGAAUGGCUCAUUAUAUAAGUUAUCGUUUAUUUGAUAGUACCUUACUACUUGGAUAACCGUGGUAAUUCUAGAGCUAAUACAUGCUAAAAAUCCCGACUUCGGAAGGGAUGUAUUUAUUAGAUUAAAAACCAAUGCCCUCUGGGCUCUCUGGUGAUUCAUGAUAACUUCUCGAAUCGCAUGGCCUUGCGCCGGCGAUGGUUCAUUCAAAUUUCUUCCCUAUCAACUUUCGAUGUUUGGGUAUUGGCCAAACAUGGUCGCAACGGGUAACGGAGGGUUAGGGCUCGACCCCGGAGAAGGAGCCUGAGAAACGGCUACUACAUCCAAGGAAGGCAGCAGGCGCGCAAAUUACCCAAUCCCGACACGGGGAGGUAGUGACAAUAAAUACUGAUACAGGGCUCUUUCGGGUCUUGUAAUUGGAAUGAGUACAAUUUAAAUCCCUUAACGAGGAACAAUUGGAGGGCAAGUCUGGUGCCAGCAGCCGCGGUAAUUCCAGCUCCAAUAGCGUAUAUUAAAGUUGUUGUGGUUAAAAAGCUCGUAGUUGAACCUUGGGCCUGGCUGGCCGGUCCGCCUCACCGCGUGUACUGGUCCGGCCGGGCCUUUCCCUCUGUGGAACCUCAUGCCCUUCACUGGGCGUGACGGGGAAACAGGACUUUUACUGUGAAAAAAUUAGAGUGCUCCAGGCAGGCCUAUGCUCGAAUACAUUAGCAUGGAAUAAUGAAAUAGGACGUGCGGUUCUAUUUUGUUGGUUUCUAGGACCGCCGUAAUGAUUAAUAGGGACAGUCGGGGGCAUCAGUAUUCAAUUGUCAGAGGUGAAAUUCUUGGAUUUAUUGAAGACUAACUACUGCGAAAGCAUUUGCCAAGGAUGUUUUCAUUAAUCAGGAACGAAAGUUAGGGGAUCGAAGACGAUCAGAUACCGUCGUAGUCUUAACCAUAAACUAUGCCGACUAGGGAUCGGACGAUGUAAAUAAUUGACUCGUUCGGCACCUUACGAGAAAUCAAAGUGUUGCUC
rnacentral:rRNA from 1 species